CAGUCGCCGCGGGAAUACAGAGGGUGCGAGCGUUAAUCGGAUUUACUGGGCGUAAAGCGUGCGUAGGCGGCUUUUUAAGUCGGAUGUGAAAUCCCUGAGCUUAACUUAGGAAUUGCAUUCGAUACUGGGAAGCUAGAGUAUGGGAGAGGAUGGUAGAAUUCCAGGUGUAGCGGUGAAAUGCGUAGAGAUCUGGAGGAAUACCGAUGGCGAAGGCAGCCAUCUGGCCUAAUACUGACGCUGAGGUACGAAAGCAUGGGGAGCAAACAGGAUUAGAGACCCGUGUAGUCCCUGUCUCUUAUAC
rnacentral:rRNA from 1 species